AAUGUCGCGGUGGAUCUGAUCCCCAAACCCGCCGUGAUACUCUGGUCGAAUGGAGCCCAGAUUAAAUUAUGAUUUUAUACACAUAUUAAAUAUGCACAUGCAUGCACACAUACUAACAUAUGCACACAUACAUACGAACAGUGUUGCUCAAGCAAGCUGGUCUUAUACUACUAAAUCUGGUCUUCAUGAAAAUAAUUAAUUUUUUGAAUGAAUAGACUUUGAAUGAGUUUUCAAUUCUGUAUUUUUGCCCAAAUCCUAUUUGUACACAGAUAGUUCUUAUUCCAUAUUUUUGUCUUCAGGCGACAUAAAAGACAGAAAGAGUGUGUCAGAUGCUGAGAGCAUUAAAGAAAGAGUUGAUGUUAAAAACAUGACGGCUGCAACAGCAGACAUGAAGGAGAGAGGUUACGGCAGCAGGGGCAAUAGAAUAGGGAUCUAUUUAUUACACUGAUGGAAUGUGACUAUGAAUCUCCCAAGGACUGCUGCCAAUCAAGGUGGAGGAGGAUGUUACAUCUUUUCACAUCUUGCUUCAGAUGCAGGCCAAGAACAUAAAUGGGUCAUCAGUGCACAUCUAUUAUUAGCUCUGUGGCAGCCAGUUUGAACACUUCAGAAUAUCAUUUUCUUAAAAUACCUUUCUUUGAUUGCUACAAUAAAAU
rnacentral:lncRNA from 1 species